AGUGAACGCUGGCGGCGUGCUUAACACAUGCAAGUCGAACGAGAACGGAUUAUAGCUUGCUAUAAUUGUCAGCUAAGUGGCGCACGGGUGAGUAAUGUAUAGGUAAUAUGCCUCUUACUAAGGGAUAACAAAUGGAAACGUUUGCUAAUACCUUAUACUCCUUAUUAACAUAAGUUAAUAAGGGAAAGAUUUAUUGGUAAGAGAUUAGCCUGUAUUGUAUCAGUUAGUUGGUGAGGUAAUGGCUUACCAAGACUAUGACACAUAACUGGUUUGAGAGGAUGAUCAGUCACACUGGAACUGAGACACGGUCCAGACUCCUACGGGAGGCAGCAGUGGGGAAUAUUGCACAAUGGACGAAAGCCUGAUGCAGCAACGCCGCGUGGAGGAUGACACAUUUCGGUGCGUAAACUCCUUUUAUAUGAGAAGAUAAUGACGGUAUUAUAUGAAUAAGCACCGGCUAACUCCGUGCCAGCCGCCGCAGUAA
rnacentral:rRNA from 1 species